GACGAACGCUGGCGGCGUGCUUAACACAUGCAAGUCGAACGGAAAGGCCCUGCUUUUGUGGGGUGCUCGAGUGGCGAACGGGUGAGUAACACGUGAGUAACCUGCCCUUGACUUUGGGAUAACUUCAGGAAACUGGGGCUAAUACCGGAUAGGAGCUCCUGCUGCAUGGUGGGGGUUGGAAAGUUUCGGCGGUUGGGGAUGGACUCGCGGCUUAUCAGCUUGUUGGUAGGGUAGUGGCUUACCAAGGCUUUGACGGGUAGCCGGCCUGAGAGGGUGACCGGCCACAUUGGGACUGAGAUACGGCCCAGACUCCUACGGGAGGCAGCAGUGGGGAAUAUUGCACAAUGGGCGGAAGCCUGAUGCAGCAACGCCGCGUGCGGGAUGACGGCCUUCGGGUUGUAAACCGCUUUCGCCUGUGACGAAGCGUGAGUGACGGUAAUGGGUAAAGAAGCACCGGCUAACUACGUGCCAGCAGCCGCGGUGAUACGUAGGGUGCGAGCGUUGUCCGGAUUUAUUGGGCGUAAAGGGCUCGUAGGUGGUUGAUCGCGUCGGAAGUGUAAUCUUGGGGCUUAACCCUGAGCGUGCUUUCGAUACGGGUUGACUUGAGGAAGGUAGGGGAGAAUGGAAUUCCUGGUGGAGCGGUGGAAUGCGCAGAUAUCAGGAGGAACACCAGUGGCGAAGGCGGUUCUCUGGGCCUUUCCUGACGCUGAGGAGCGAAAGCGUGGGGAGCGAACAGGCUUAGAUACCCUGGUAGUCCACGCUGUAAACGGUGGGUACUAGGUGCGGGGUCCAUUCCACGGGUUCCGUGCCGUAGCUAACGCUUUAAGUACCCCGCCUGGGGAGUACGGCCGCAAGGCUAAAACUCAAAGGAAUUGACGGGGCCCCGCACAAGCGGCGGAGCAUGCGGAUUAAUUCGAUGCAACGCGUAGAACCUUACCUGGGUUUGACAUGGAUCGGGAGUGCUCAGAGAUGGGUGUGCCUCUUUUGGGGUCGGUUCACAGGUGGUGCAUGGCUGUCGUCAGCUCGUGUCGUGAGAUGUUGGGUUAAGUCCCGCAACGAGCGCAACCCUUGUUCACUGUUGCCAGCACGUUAUGGUGGGGACUCAGUGGAGACCGCCGGGGUCAACUCGGAGGAAGGUGGGGAUGACGUCAAGUCAUCAUGCCCCUUAUGUCCAGGGCUUCACGCAUGCUACAAUGGCUGGUACAGAGAGUGGCGAGCCUGUGAGGGUGAGCGAAUCUCGGAAAGCCGGUCUCAGUUCGGAUUGGGGUCUGCAACUCGACCUCAUGAAGUCGGAGUCGCUAGUAAUCGCAGAUCAGCAACGCUGCGGUGAGUACGUUCCCGGGGCU
rnacentral:rRNA from 1 species